AUGGACGAGGACGUGCUGACCACCCUGAAGAUCCUCACCAUCGGCGAGAGUGGCGUGGGCAAACCCAGACUUAGUGGAAGUGAGAUAACACUUGUGUUGUUGAAAAAUCAUUGCGCAACAAAGGAUAUCCUAACUAAUUCAAGUCAGUGGGUUAUUUUUCAAGUUUAUUUCGUACUUGGAGUGUUAAUGAGCAUGUGUGAGAACAGCCAGGAGAUCAGAAUUAUGAAAUGUGGUGCUGCUACUUGUGUGACCUUGUGUGUGACACUGAACACUCUAGGCCUUCAUUUCCUCAUUUGAAAAGUGAGGUUCAAGUGGAAAUCUCUCAGCCCCUGUCUAGUGUUAAACGGGUAAGAGUCUUUGAUUCUGUGGCUAGCCAAGUAAAGAAGUAGCAUGGUGUUUCAGAAACUUGAAGGGAUUAUAGAGACCUGUUACCCAAAUUGCUGUCCCUCCUAUGCCCCUUAUAUUCCCAUCCUUUUUGGCCAGUUUCAUUUGUAAAUUAAGCAAUGAGGAUUCAUCGUAAUGACACUGAUGAGUUAUAAAUUUGGUUUCCUCCAAGUGGCAUGGUGGUAGUUUCUCCCUCCAUCCAUUGCUCUGCAUGGAGAAUAUUUUGCUCUUUUAAGUUUGAAAAUAUGAAAGCUUAAACAUACAUCCAUUAGAUCAGUGGUUCUUAAGUCAUUUUCAGGUUGUGGAUUCCUUUCAAAAUCUAAUAGAGAAAUAGACUCCCUGCCUAGAAGAAUGUAGAUGUAGAAUUUAGACUAGAUUUCCAGCUAACAGUGAACCGCUGGCUAAGAUCUGCUGCCUUAUACCCAGAGCCUGUAUUAAAAUUUGUUCCUUUCUGGAGUUCCCGUCGUGGCUCAGUGGCUAACGAAUCCGACUAGGAACCAUGAGGUUGUGGGUUCGAUCCCUGGCCUUGCUCAGUGG
rnacentral:lncRNA from 1 species